rnacentral:rRNA from 1 species
UACGUAGGGUGCGAGCGUUGUCCGGAAUUACUGGGCGUAAAGAGCUCGUAGGUGGUUUGUCGCGUUGUUCGUGAAAACUCACAACUCAAUUGUGGGCGUGCGGGCGAUACGGGCAGGCUAGAGUUCGGUAGGGGAGACUGGAAUUCCUGGUGUAGCGGUGAAAUGCGCAGAUAUCAGGAGGAACACCGGUGGCGAAGGCGGAUCUCUGGGCCUGUCCUGACGCUCAGGCGCGAAAGCUAGGGGAGCAAACAGG